GUGAGAGUGUGUAUGAGAGUGUGUGUGAGAGUGUGUGUGUUGUUGUGUGUGAGAGUGUGUGUGACAGUGGUACAGUAUGAGCGUGUGUGUGAGAGUGAGAGUAUGUGUGUGUGUGUAUAUGUGAGAGAGAGUGUGUAUGAGAGUAUGUGUGUGUGUAUGUUGUGUGUAUGAGAGAGUCUGUGUGUGUGUAUGUUGUGUGUGAGAGUGAGAGUAUGUGUGUGUGUAUGUUGUGUGUGAGAGUGAGAGUAUGUGUGUGUGUAUGUUGUGUGUGAGAGUGAGAGU
ensembl:lncRNA